rnacentral:lncRNA from 1 species
UGGGAUCAAGAAAAACAUCCAAUCAUCGCGACUAGGUUGAAACAAUUGAGCACCUGCCAUACCCAAACCCACAUAAAGGAAAUUCAUUGCCACAAAAAAGAAUUCGUACUAAGAAGGAGAGGCUAGAGGAAAGUCUUCCAAGGAUAAGCAACGAUCUUGAGAUAAACUAGCUAUUACAAAUAAAAGAAAAUAGGUCUCCAACGAGUAGCAAAACAUAAAAGUCAUCAUGCAAAGUCAAACUACUCUUAAGCAAAUGGAAAGAAAUAUUACAAGUAGACCAAUCAAACCAAAGAGUACUUAAAAAACUAGCAUCCUCGUAUAUAAAAUUUAAAUGUAAGUUUUUUAUCAUUUAACGAAUUCAUCUUUAUCGUUUAUUAAAAAGAUUAUUCUCGAUCAAUUUAUAAAAAAAUCAUGUAUUAGAAAGUUUAUUAUAUUUUAAUAAUAUUAAAUUUUAAAACAAAAUUGGUACUGAUAUAAAUAUAUAUCAUAUUCAUGGUUAUUUUCAUAAAAUUGUUGCUAUUUGGCACUCCAUGAAAGUUGAAGGAAAAGUUUUGUUUGAACUGUUUUUUCUUUUUCAUUGGCACUCAAAAUGACAGUUGAGAAGUAAAAAUGAAAAUUUAGACUCACGAUAUAACAUAAUAAACAUUUUAAUUUGUUUAAAAUUAUAAAAUAUAAAUGUUUAAAAUUAUAAAAUAUUUAGAGUUGUUUUCAAAUAUAAAAAGACUCUUUAAAAUAUUUAUAAAUAUAAUAAAGUUGUACUUUCCAUCACGAAAAGAUUCAAAAUAAACAUAAAUUCAACAUCUAUUUAUGUUGUAUUAAUAGAAUGUUGUUUUGUAAAUACCUAGUCAGUUCAAAUUUUUUUAAAAAAAUUGAGUUGUAUUAAUAGAAUGUUGUUUUGGUUUUAAUUUGGCGUACAAAUUUCUUUUAAUUUUUUCAUUAAUUAUAUUCUAUUAUUAUAUAUAAACAAAUCUCCAAGUGGUAAGGAUUUUAAUUCAUACAAAAUCUUUAUUCUUUUCAAAAGAUUUUAGAAGAUUUCGUUCUUUUAGAAGUUCUGAAAGAUUUUGUUUUCCUUGAAAGUUAGGAUUUCAGAAGAUUUUAAUCCAUAUACGUGGAAGUCAAGAGUCCCAGUUGAUACUUUUUAACAUAUCAUUUUGCAUUGACGUGUUUGUUGUGUGUUGUUGAACACCUUGUUAUUAAUAUUGCCAUUCGCACGUUGAAGGUUAUUUUGAGUAGUUUCUCUCAAAGUAAGGGUGAGGUUAAAAUAUGGAUUGGGUUUGAGUUCAAAAAAUUGAUUUUUUUGGAUUGGAUUGGGUCUCAGGUCUCGGAUUGAAAAAUUCGGUUCAACCCAACCCAACACAACCCAAAUUAAUAUAAUAUAUAUAUUAUUUAAUAAAAAACAAAUUAGGUAUAUAAACUUUGAAUUUAUUAUUGUAUAAAAUUUUGAAUUAUGUAUGUUUGAAAUUUAAACGUAACAAUUUUGAACUUUUUAUAACCAUUAGAAACUAUAAACGAACAAAAACAAAAAGUAUACAAUCCUAAACCCAAUCCAACUCAACCCAUAUUUUACUGGUUGGGUUGGGUUAGAAACUAAAUUCGAAUUAUUCGGGUUGCCAACUCGAAUAACUCGAAAAUAUGGAUUGGGUUUGAGAAUGUCUCCCAACCCAAUCCAAUUUCACCCGUACUCUCAAGGGGAGCUUGGACAUUGAGAUGUAAAGGUGAAGCGUGAAUAUCAAAUGGGAGCUUAGAUCAAAUCCCUUGUUCACACAUAAGUGAUUUAGGAAGAGCCUUAAACAUUUAUCUUGUGAAAGUAGUGUAAUACACGAUAUUUAAUUCUUCAUAAGUUAUGUACUAGUUAUAAACCUCUAGAAUCUGAGUAUUUUUCAAUUUAAGUUAAGACUCCCUCAAACGUAGGUAUGAUUGCACCAAAUUGGAUUACCAACUUGAUUGUGUGAUGUUUUAUUCCUGCCGUUUAUAUGUUAUUUAAUUUGAAAAUAGCGCGCUUUGGUGCAAACAUAACUCUCUGAGUUAAUACUGUGUUUUUCAAAUGUACUUUGGUGCAUAGACGUCAUCUCAAUAAAAUUUAAAUUUUCUUUUAUUAGAGAACAAACAAGCUAUUAAUAGUUAAAUUUAUAAACAGAGAACUUCAAAAUUAAAGUAAGGGAGUUCUAUUACAAUUAAAAUCCAUUUACUAAUAUAUCUAUAUUGAUGACUGUUUAUACAUAGCAACACAGCUUGUUAAAAGUAAAAUAUAAGAUCUGAAGUUCAAAGUAUAGAAAAGUGGAAAAAGCAAGAAACCAACAGAUGCACCACAAAUAUAUAAGGAAAAUUGAAAAAAUGUCAACCUAUAGAAUGUAUCAAAAGAAGAAGGAGAAAAAGAGAUAUAUUUAACAUAUAUACUUCUGUGGUUGCAAAAAGAAAAACAUGUUGUUACCAAAUAAAAGAGAUGAAAGAUAUCAAAAUGAAACCAAGAAAACCAAAUAUUAAGAGAGAGAGAUAUAAUUGGUAAACCCAAAUGUAAAAUUAGUCAUGGGUCCAAGUAAUUAAUUCCCAUUAAUUUCAUUUCAGUAACUUAACAAACAAUAUUCAAUAUAUAUCUCCAAAAUUUUCAUUCCCAUGCAAAAGAGUGAAACAAGAUAAUGCAACUUUUACCACAUAAUUAAAAGCAAAUGGGGAAAGUAUAUGUAAUCAAUUUAUAUUCUAUUACCAUAUACGAUUCUAUUAAAACUAGUAAAAGUUGUUCUGCACCAUUAUCACCUUCAUUUUCUUAAAAUAAUGCUCAUUUUUGCUUACAAUCCAACCAAGCUACAAUUUUUGUACUAACAAAAUUUAAUAAGUUUUCUUCUACAGAAAAAAAACAUCAUAUUAUUAAUCUUAUAGUUCGUCAUGUAUUGUCCUCAAUGUCAACCUAGUUGAGAAGACUUGGUGCCCGAUCAAGUAUCUUUUCUAAGAACGUUUGACUCUUUUUCCUUUAGGACUAUUGUGAUCCAAAAAAAACGAAAAGAAAAGAAAAAACUAAUAAUUUUUUUUUUUGGUCUUUUUCAACUUUAAACUUGCUAAUUCUAUGUUUGAAGAACAAAGUUAAAAAAUGAAGGUACUUAAGGAGGAUAGCCUGUGAACUAUUACUAUAGCUAGGUUACAACACUCAAUAUCAUUAAUUAGCUACACUUAUACCUUAAGCAUAAUUAGUCUUGCAACAACAAUCCAAGAAUUGUAUUUUUCAAUGACCAAAUUAAACAAAGAUAUAUGACAAAAUUAUUGCCUAGUUAGUCUAUAUCCUCUCCUUUAUAAGAACCUCCACAUUUCAUAAUUAUUCUCACACAUCCUAAACAAAGCAUUCUCUCAAUCUCUAAAUUUCCUCAUUUUUCUACAAACAAUGGAGAACAAGGGUAUGAGCACCUCCAUAAUGAAGAUAUCACUUACAUUAUUCCUAGUAAGCAUGGCCAUUUUGGCACCAUCAGCCACGGCUCGGAUGGAGGCAGCAGCACCUAGUCCAUUAGCACUAGAAGAUCUAUCUUUCUCUAACUGCACACCAUUUAUUUUAGAGGCAACAAUGUGUGUAGUAGGCGUGAUAAAAUUCCCGGUUGCUCCUCAUCCUUCGUGUUGCAAAGCUAUUUCUGAUCUCGACGAUUGUUCUCCGGAAACUUACGAACAUAUUCCUGGCAUGGACAUUAUUAAAAAAAUUUGUAGUCUGUGAAGCACUUUCUAUCUUGACAAUCAAAAGAUUCUUCAAGCAAAUUGAACCAUUUUGAAUAAGAAAGUUAUGUUUAUGUGAUUGUGAGUUUUCUUUUUUCCUACAGUACUAUUACAGUACCAUCUAUAAAACUUAAUAAAACAUACAUCUUUAACAAGAUUUAGAGUGUACUUGAAAAUCUCUGCAUAAUCAACAACACUAAAAUCUUCAUAGCCAAUUUAGUUUUAGUACUACAUACACAAAAGAUUUAAGAAACAGAAUUAUAGUCUAUGCAUAACAAUCUAAACUUUCUUACAAGUUUCCAGAUUUCCAGAUUUUCUGUUUUCUAGCAAUAGAGAAAAAAAAGAGUCAAACCAUUUGUUUUCAGGAUUUGUAGAGCAUCAAACUGAUAGAACUAAGUCAUGCACAGCGGAAAAAGAAUCGAAUUUCUACCCUAAUUGCCACAAUUAACAUGUAACCAUAAACUAAUCAAAUUAGGGUUUUAAGAAGUAUUACCUUUGAAGCUUUCAAAAGGUUUGAUGUCUUCUUACCAAUUCUACCCGAGACCACCACUAGUACUCAACUGCUAUCCUCUAGACAAAGAACCGGGUUGUGGGACCCAAUUUUGAUGUAGAAAGUAAUGGAGAUAAAAUGAGAUUGGAAGCUUUCUUUUUUCUUUUGUUGAGAUGAUGAAAAUGAUAAAAGAGGCAAAAGUCCUUCAACAUUUGAAAACAUCUCUAUUUAUAGCCUAAUUACAUGCAAAAAUGCAUGCAAUUCAAUUGCCAAAUC